UACGUAGGGUGCAAGCGUUAAUCGGAAUUACUGGGCGUAAAGCGUGCGCAGGCGGUUGUGCAAGACAGAUGUGAAAUCCCCGGACUUAACCUGGGAAUGGCAUUUGUGACUGCACGGCUAGAGUGUGUCAGAGGGGGGUAGAAUUCCACGUGUAGCAGUGAAAUGCGUAGAUAUGUGGAGGAAUACCGAUGGCGAAGGCAGCCCCCUGGGAUAACACUGACGCUCAUGCACGAAAGCGUGGGGAGCAAACAGG
rnacentral:rRNA from 1 species